rnacentral:other from 1 species
UAGUUUCUGCUUAAGACGCGGACUGUAGCCGUAUAACCCUACAAGAUAUAAUAGGGAGCUCGGCUCCUAUAUUCGAUUGCAGACCUCUUGGCUUUUGCCAAAUGAAGGGAGCGUGAAGAUAUGGGGAGGGCACCCACCUGCUUAUGUAAUUUGCAGGUUAUCUAGGCUACGAUACGCUUAAGCGGAUUUUUA